AGACCCGAAACCCGGUGAUCUAGCCAUGGGCAGGUUGAAGGUUGGGUAACACUAACUGGAGGACCGAACCGACUAAUGUUGAAAAAUUAGCGGAUGACCUGUGGCUGGGGGUGAAAGGCCAAUCAAACCGGGAGAUAGCUGGUUCUCCCCGAAAGCUAUUUAGGUAGCGCCUCGUGAAUUCAUCUCCGGGGGUAGAGCACUGUUUCGGCUAGGGGGCCAUCCCGGCUUACCAACCCGAUGCAAACUGCGAAUACCGGAGAAUGUUAUCACGGGAGACACACGGCGGGUGCUAACGUCCGUCGUGAAGAGGGAAACAACCCAGACCGCCAGCUAAGGUCCCAAAGUCAUGGUUAAGUGGGAAACGAUGUGGGAAGGCCCAGACAGCCAGGAUGUUGGCUUAGAAGCAGCCAUCAUUUAAAGAAAGCGUAAUAGCUCACUGGUCGAGUCGGCCUGCGCGGAAGAUGUAACGGGGCUAAACCAUGCACCGAAGCUGCGGCAGCGACACUGUGUGUUGUUGGGUAGGGGAGCGUUCUGUAAGCCUGUGAAGGUGUGUCGUGAGGCAUGCUGGAGGUAUCAGAAGUGCGAAUGCUGACAUAAGUAACGAUAAAGCGGGUGAAAAGCCCGCUCGCCGGAAGACCAAGGGUUCCUGUCCAACGUUAAUCGGGGCAGGGUGAGUCGACCCCUAAGGCGAGGCCGAAAGGCGUAGUCGAUGGGAAACGGGUUAAUAUUCCCGUACUUGGUGUUACUGCGAAGGGGGGACGGAGAAGGCUAUGUUGGCCGGGCGACGGUUGUCCCGGUUUAAGCGUGUAGGUGUGUGUUCCAGGUAAAUCCGGUUCACUUUAACACUGAGGCGUGACGACGAGGCACUACGGUGCUGAAGCAACAAAUGCCCUGCUUCCAGGAAAAGCCUCUAAGCAUCAGGUAACAUCAAAUCGUACCCCAAACCGACACAGGUGGUCAGGUAGAGAAUACCAAGGCGCUUGAGAGAACUCGGGUGAAGGAACUAGGCAAAAUGGUGCCGUAACUUCGGGAGAAGGCACGCUGACACGUAGGUGAAGUGAUUUACUCAUGGAGCUGAAGUCAGUCGAAGAUACCAGCUGGCUGCAACUGUUUAUUAAAAACACAGCACUGUGCAAACACGAAAGUGGACGUAUACGGUGUGACGCCUGCCCGGUGCCGGAAGGUUAAUUGAUGGGGUCAGCGCAAGCGAAGCUCCUGAUCGAAGCCCCGGUAAACGGCGGCCGUAACUAUAACGGUCCUAAGGUAGCGAAAUUCCUUGUCGGGUAAGUUCCGACCUGCACGAAUGGCGUAAUGAUGGCCAGGCUGUCUCCACCCGAGACUCAGUGAAAUUGAACUCGCUGUGAAGAUGCAGUGUACCCGCGGCAAGACGGAAAGACCCCGUGAACCUUUACUAUAGCUUGACACUGAACAUUGAGCCUUGAUGUGUAGGAUAGGUGGGAGGCUUUGAAGUGUGGACGCCAGUCUGCAUGGAGCCGACCUUGAAAUACCACCCUUUAAUGUUUGAUGUUCUAACGUGGACCCGUUACCCGGGUUGCGGACAGUGUCUGGUGGGUAGUUUGACUGGGGCGGUCUCCUCCUAAAGAGUAACGGAGGAGCACGAAGGUUGGCUAAUCCUGGUCGGA
rnacentral:rRNA from 1 species